AAGAUACUCCCUCCGUUGCAUAAUUCUUGUUUUAAAUUUGUCCAAAAAUAGAUGUAUCUAUUCUUAAAAAACGUCUAGAUACAUGUAAUAUUUCGACAAGAAUUAUGGAACAGAGGAAGUACUUA
rfam:Brachypodium distachyon strain Bd21 chromosome 2, whole genome shotgun sequence.